rnacentral:sRNA from 1 species
AGCAAUGGGCCGCACAUACGUAUCGC